rnacentral:pre_miRNA from 1 species
AGUGGGAUAACUGGGUCAGAUGGUGGUUCUAUUUCAAGUUUUCUGAGGAAUCUCCAUACUGUUUUCCAGAGUGGUUGAACUAAUUUGCAGUCCUACCAGCAAU